AUCCAUCUGACGAGUCCCAAAUAGGACGAAACGCGCGUCCUGAAU
rfam:Schistosoma mattheei strain Denwood, Zambia genome assembly, scaffold: SMTD_scaffold0012024